CAGACACCUACCUGCGCGAGUUCAGGAAGGGAGGGACAGGAAGAGCUCGGUGUGUUAUAGAUUCUUGUUUUGCUCUCCCACUUUCUGCUUCUAAGCUCCUAGCGCUGCUUCCCUGUCCUCAUAUCUUUCUUGUUAAAAAUGCCAGAUUCUGCCUAAUUUGUGUUCUUUUAUUGAACUGGACACAACUUAAAAAUGUUUUCAGUUUGGUGCUCACCAGAACCGAGGUUAGAGAAAGAAGAGCGAGGAGGGGAAGGAGGAAGAAUGUGAAAAGAAGGAAAAUCUAGUCACGGGAAAAGCAGCAGAGGAGGAAACGCCAUCGCCUCGUGCCUGUGCCGUUUCCACCCUUUGGUCUUUGAGGUCCAUGUUUGUGCUUGAGGAACGAUUUCAACAUCACGCAGGGCUUGUUGGGGACCACGUGUGACGGGGGCCAGGAAGGGAGGCUCUGCCUGAACUGGCCUUGCUGGUUUCUCUCCUUCCAGACGUCUGCUGAGAGUGGGGGUGGCCUAACAUGUGGCCAGUGGAGGAGCCCAUCUCAGUCCUACUUGCCAGGGGCGCCAUUGCUUGGGUCCAAAGCCCCACGCCUCCUCCAGUCUGCGACUUUUGCUUCCACGUGCACGUCUUGUGGUGGCCAUUGCUCCUGGACCCCAAAAGCCAGUUUCCUUCUACCUUGGGGCUUAUGGAAGGAUCACCGUUUCCCAUGCCCUGAAGAACCACACAGCCACGAGACUUGCUGUGGUCUAAGAAGUGAGUGGCGCUUCCAGGUGGAAGCGUUUGAGCUGAUGUGUGUGACUCUCUGUGCACUUGUUGACUUGACCACCAGCUUUCCAAAUGGUGGAGCUUUUGUCAGCCAAGGUCGUAGAGUGAAAAUGACGUGGAACAGAGUCCUUGUAGAUCCGUGACCACGGUCACAUGAGUCAGGAAUAAACCUUCCUUGUUCUGAGCCACUGAAUUCUGGAGUUGGUUGUCACUGCAGCGUAGCUUAGCCUAUCCUGACCGACGCGUCCCCACCCCCUUCACUUGCUCUGUGUUUGGAAUCCUUUGCAAAUCUGGCCAAGUCCUGCUGCUGCCCAGAACCCUUUCAUGACUCCCCAGCACUGUUGGGAUGAGGUGC
rnacentral:lncRNA from 1 species